UACGUAGGGAGCAAGCGUUGUCCGGAAUCACUGGGCGUAAAGCGCACGUAGGCGGAUUGUUAAGUCAGGGGUGAAAUCCUGGAGCUCAACUCCAGAACUGCCUUUGAUACUGGCGAUCUUGAGUCCGGGAGAGGUGAGUGGAACUGCGAGUGUAGAGGUGAAAUUCGUAGAUAUUCGCAAGAACACCAGUGGCGAAGGCGGCUCACUGGACCGGAACUGACGCUGAGGCGCGAAAGCGUGGGGAGCAAACAGG
rnacentral:rRNA from 1 species